rnacentral:lncRNA from 1 species
CCUGAAAUUAAAAGCAUCUUCAAAUCAUUAUAGGAAAGGAAAAUACCCAUAAAUUUCUGACCAAAAAACUUUGUAUAGCCUCAAAAAGGGAGGACUGGAAAUUGAAGAGAAGAGUUGUUGAAACAAAUUAUUAUAGUAAGAGAAGAGAACACACAAAGAACAGAGGAAUUCCCUAUCUUGAUCGAUUCUUGUGCUUCCAUUAGAGAGUAACCAAUUGAACUAUAGUCCCUCAGCAACUAACUAACAAAUAGCCCAACUUCUAAACCAAACAGUUAAUUAACGUGUGUGCACCUCCUGCACUCAUAGCCAACCAAAUGGUUGAAGAUGAUCGUCCUUCUCACUUAAACACUAUUAGUAUAACUUAGGUCGACCAAUCUAGUGAUUGGGCAAUCAAUGGUGAAUUGAUGAUGUGAAAGGAGUCCAAAUGGAAAUUAUAUCAGAGGUGACUGGACUCUUGUCUGAAAAUCAUAUUUUUUGGGAGUUCUUCCAUUAGUUUAAUCCAAGAGAUUCAAUUUCUAUGUAAAUAUCAAUUAAAGUAUCAAACUGAUCCUAACAGAGGAUGAAGAAGAUACACAGAGGUGACUGGACUCUUGUCUGAAAAUCAUAUUUUUUGGGAGUUCUUCCAUUAGUUUAAUCAAGAGGUGACUGGACUCUUGUCUGAAAAUCAUAUUUUUUGGGAGUUCUUCCAUUAGUUUAAUCCAAGAGAUUCAAUUUCUAUGUAAAUAUCAAUUAAAGUAUCAAACUGAUCCUAACAGAGGAUGAAGAAGAUACACAGAGUAAAAAAUCAUUUACGUUCUUGAUAUCUAGCCUCCGUUUACAGAUUAAUGAAUCUCUGAGGUAUAAUCAGUCCUAAACUAACAAACAGUUCAAUUUUUCAGACUAACAAUGAUCACUAAAAUACAUCACAAACUGCCAGCUAACAGUGCGAUCUCAAGUUAAUCUGCACUUCAUCGCCAAAACUCUAUCAGUCAUAUUCCAACUCGAUCUUACUCGUUAAACUCAAGUUUUGUCCUCCUACUACACACUGCAAAAUUGCCAUACAAGCAAGCUAUCUCUACCCAUCCAUCCGACAGGAACAUUAUCCCGAAAAUGAAUUGCAAUUCAAACUAGAAAUUUUCUUAAUUAUCGGCUCAUGUAUCCAAAUACUUCCGCUCCACAUGCUUCGUGUGGAAAGUGGGAAAACUCAAUUAAGAAACCAAAGACUG